GAUGAACGCUGGCGGCGUGCCUAAUACAUGCAAGUCGAGCGAACAGACGAGGAGCUUGCUCCUCUGACGUUAGCGGCGGACGGGUGAGUAACACGUGGAUAACCUACCUAUAAGACUGGGAUAACUUCGGGAAACCGGAGCUAAUUCCGGAUAAUAUAUUGAACCGCAUGGUUCAAUAGUGAAAGACGGUUUUGCUGUCACUUAUAGAUGGAUCCGCGCCGCAUUAGCUAGUUGGUAAGGUAACGGCUUACCAAGGCAACGAUGCGUAGCCGACCUGAGAGGGUGAUCGGCCACACUGGAACUGAGACACGGUCCAGACUCCUACGGGAGGCAGCAGUAGGGAAUCUUCCGCAAUGGGCGAAAGCCUGACGGAGCAACGCCGCGUGAGUGAUGAAGGUCUUCGGAUCGUAAAACUCUGUUAUUAGGGAAGAACAAAUGUGUAAGUAACUAUGCACGUCUUGACGGUACCUAAGCAGAAAGCCACGGCUAACUACGU
rnacentral:rRNA from 1 species